rnacentral:rRNA from 1 species
AGAGUUUGAUCCUGGCUCAGGACGAACGCUGGCGGCGUGCUUAACACAUGCAAGUCGAACGAGACGAUUUUAAGCUUGCUUAGAAGAGUCGAGUGGCAAACGGGUGAGUAACGCGUAGACAACCUGCCGCAAAGAUGGGGACAACAGUCCGAAAGGACUGCUAAUACCGAAUGUUGUCAGAUUCCCGCAUGGGAGACUGAUUAAAGAUGGCCUCUACUUGUAAGCUAUCGCUUUGCGAUGGGUCUGCGUCUGAUUAGCUAGUUGGUGGGGUAACGGCCUACCAAGGCGACGAUCAGUAGCCGGUCUGAGAGGAUGAACGGCCACAUUGGAACUGAGACACGGUCCAGACUCCUACGGGAGGCAGCAGUGGGGAAUCUUCCGCAAUGGGCGAAAGCUGACGGAGCAACGCCGCGUGAGUGAAGAAGGGUUUCGGCUCGUAAAGCUCUGUUGACGGGGACGAAUGUGCGAGAUGCGAAUAGUUUCUUGCAAUGACGGUACCCGUCGAGGAAGCCACGGCUAACUACGUGCCAGCAGCCGCGGUAAUACGUAGGUGGCGAGCGUUGUCCGGAAUUAUUGGGCGUAAAGGGAGCGCAGGCGGGAAGGCAAGUCAGUCUUAAAAGUGCGGGGCUCAACCCCGUGAUGGGAUUGAAACUGUCUUUCUUGAGUGCAGGAGAGGAAAGCGGAAUUCCUAGUGUAGCGGUGAAAUGCGUAGAUAUUAGGAGGAACACCAGUGGCGAAGGCGGCUUUCUGGACUGUAACUGACGCUGAGGCUCGAAAGCGUGGGGAGCGAACAGGAUUAGAUACCCUGGUAGUCCACGCCGUAAACGAUGAGUGCUAGGUGUAGGAGGUAUCGACCCCUUCUGUGCCGGAGUUAACGCAAUAAGCACUCCGCCUGGGGAGUACGGUCGCAAGACUGAAACUCAAAGGAAUUGACGGGGGCCCGCACAAGCGGUGGAGUAUGUGGUUUAAUUCGACGCAACGCGAAGAACCUUACCAGGGCUUGACAUUGAGUGAAAGGCCAAGAGAUUGGUCCCUCUCUUCGGAGACACGAAAACAGGUGGUGCAUGGCUGUCGUCAGCUCGUGUCGUGAGAUGUUGGGUUAAGUCCCGCAACGAGCGCAACCCCUAUCAUUUGUUGCCAGCACGUUAAGGUGGGAACUCAAAUGAGACUGCCGCGGACAACGCGGAGGAAGGCGGGGAUGACGUCAAGUCAUCAUGCCCCUUAUGUCCUGGGCUACACACGUACUACAAUGGGAUGGACAGAGAGCAGCGACCCCGCGAGGGCAAGCGAACCCCAUAAACCAUCUCCCAGUUCGGAUUGCAGGCUGCAACCCGCCUGCAUGAAGUCGGAAUCGCUAGUAAUCGCUGGUCAGCAUACAGCGGUGAAUACGUUCCCGGGCCUUGUACACACCGCCCGU